GACGAACGCUGGCGGCGUGCUUAACACAUGCAAGUCGAACGGAAAGGCCCUGCUUUUGUGGGGUGCUCGAGUGGCGAACGGGUGAGUAACACGUGAGUAACCUGCCCUUGACUUUGGGAUAACUUCAGGAAACUGGGGCUAAUACCGCAUAGGAUCUCCUGCUGCAUGUUGGGGGUUGGAAAGUUUCGGCGGUUGGGGAUGGACUCGCUGGUUAUGCGCUUGUUGGUGAGGUAGUGGCUUUCCAAGGCUUUGACGGAUAGCCGGCCUGAGAGGGUGACCGGCCACAUGGGGACUGAGAUACGGACCAGACUCCUACGGGAGGCAGCAGGGGGGAAUAUUGCAGAGUGGGCGGAAGCCUGAUGCAGCAACGCCGCGUGCGGGAUAACGGCCUUCGGGUUAUAAACCGCUUUCGCCGGUAACGAAGCGUGAGUGACGGUAAUGGGUAAAGAAGCACCGGCUAACUACGUG
rnacentral:rRNA from 1 species